GACGAACGCUGGCGGCGUGCUUAACACAUGCAAGUCGAGCGGAAAGGCCCUGCUUUUGUGGGGUGCUCGAGUGGCGAACGGGUGAGUAACACGUGAGUAACCUGCCCUUGACUUUGGGAUAACUUCAGGAAACUGGGGCUAAUACCGGAUAGGAGCUCCUGCUGCAUGGUGGGGGUUGGAAAGUUUCGGCGGUUGGGGAUGGACUCGCGGCUUAUCAGCUUGUUGGUGGGGUAGUGGCUUACCAAGGCUUUGACGGGUAGCCGGCCUGAGAGGGUGACCGGCCACAUUGGGACUGAGAUACGGCCCAGACUCCUACGAGAGGCAGCAGUGGAGAAUAUUGCACAAUGGGCGGAAGCCUGAUGCAGCAACGCCGCGUGCGGGAUGACGGCCUUCGGAUUGUAAACCGCUUUCGCCUGUGACGAAGCGUGAGUGACGGUAAUGGGUAAAGAAGCACCGGCUAACUACGUG
rnacentral:rRNA from 1 species